rnacentral:lncRNA from 1 species
UAUAAUUUUAUCGAAACUCGACUAAUAUAAGCUACAUUUCGAUUACAUAUUGAAUUAAAAAAGAUAAAAUAUGAAAAAUCGUUUAGUCGGUCUAAUCAAACUUUGUUUUUAACGGAUUGAGCAGAGUGCAGUGCACGAUGGUCACUAAGUCACUGGUUGACCAUAUUGAGAUCUGUAAACAGUUGUAGUCUUUAUUCUUUUACCUUUAAAAUUCUAUCCACCGUGUUUAAAAAAGAUGUUUUCUAUCCACCAUUCCAUUCAGUAAAAAUGUUUAUCAGAAACGAUAUGAAUCCAAGCAACAGGGUUAUGAUUUAUGAAAUAUGAGUAGUAAACAAACGGUAUCACAGAAAAAAAGAGAGUAGUAUGUAAAAUUAAAUUUCAAAUCAUAAAUAAAAAUUCAUAUUAAAUAAUAUUGUAUAUAAAUAAUAUAUAUGUAAUCAAAUUUUGUUGAUAAAACAAUGAAAUUAGUACCUUAUUUUAUAAAUAAGAACAUACAAUAAU